CUUAGCUCUCAUCUACAAGUUGUACUUCACGGGCUGCAGGGGGUCUCUGAAAGACACUUACAACCAGCAACUCGCUGCACCGUACACUUGCACGUGUAAGAAGACUAAAGGCGAUACACCGUGCAAAAUACACAAGAAGAAAAAAUGAAUCGGGAGUACAAUUAAUACUUCUUGAUGUGAUGAAAAUGUAUCCUGUCACUAGACAUAUCUACAGAUAUGUCUAUGUCAGCCUACAACUCAGGUCUACAACAAACCCUAAUAUAAUAAAACUUAAUAUAACAAUGUAAUUAAAAAAUACCUCAAAAUGACCCCAAACAUUUUAUGGGUCAUCUUCGUCCAUUGAUGAAGAUUAUUAAAAUUAAUGCCGCUGUCAGCUCAGACUAAAUUAUGUGUGAUUGUUUUGAGGAGAGAGAAAGGAAACUAAAGGAAGCUUUAGAAGCGGAAUGUAAGAUCAGAGCGUCGAGAGCCGCCCAGGCUGCAGCGGAGGCUAAAAAAAGCAAAGGAACUGAUUCUCCAAGGUCAUCUGGUGCAAGCAAUUCACCCAUAGCCGUCAGGGUGGUCCGGCCGCCGCCGCAGCGCGCCGCUCCCGCUCCUCGCAGCAGACCUGACGAUUCCUUUUUAUCCAGAUUCUUAAGCCUUUUCUCAAGCCGGCCCUCACGUCCCACGCCACAUAAUUGUCUGAAACCGAAAGAGCCUCCCAGACGUAGAGGAUUUUUUUAUUGGAUGGGCUUAUUUAUUGGUAUGAUCGCAUUGUACAUCUCGUUUGCAUACUUUCUAUGCAAAAUGCGAGAAUAUGAUUGGAGAUCCCGCCUGGAGAACAUUCGUGCUGUCUUAUUAGACCCGUGUGCAACGAUAGAAUUCGUCUAUGCGGUCGCUGCCCAAGUCCGUGAGCGUGUCGGCAAUGUGGCCGCCGCGAUUAGGUCGGCUCGAGGCGGCGGCGGUAAAGUGUGCAAACCAAAACCCCCGCCUCCACCUUCUGAUGCCUGUAAAUGAGCAGGUUAUUACAUACUCUCAAUCAUCAGAAUCUCAAUCAUUCAACAAAAUAACGCUGAAAAUUAUUGUGAUAAGGGUACCUUUAUACUAAUAUACUUUGUCUUAA
rnacentral:lncRNA from 1 species